CGCAGGUGACGAAGGCUAGGGUGGUGGAGCUCUGGGCGGUCAGCCUCCCUGACUGGCUAGUUUGGGCGUCUGGGCGGCGAAGGUAGGACUGCCUAUCCCGGGCGGCACGUUGCCCCUCUCCAGCUAACUGCAUUAUAGCAUGUCCCCCAGAACCCGGAGACCGCGAGCCCGGCUUGCUUAGUGAAGAUGCGGCCCCCCAGCGUUUAGGCCACUCGCGUCUCAGCCCGCUUCUCUGUCGCUGGAGAACGCGCGGGUUGAGCAGCUGGGAGAAGCAGGCCAGAGCCUUCUAAGGCCUUGGGCCCGGGGACCCAAGGAGGAUGAGCUGGCUCUUUCCCCUAACCAAGAGCGCCUCCUCCUCCGCGACUGGUUCUCCCGGUGGCCUCACCAGCCUCCAACAGCAGAAGCAGCGCUUGAUCGAGUCCCUCCGGAACUCACACUCCAGUAUAGCUGAAAUACAGAAAGAUGUGGAAUACAGAUUGCCAUUCACUGUAAACAAUCUGACUAUUAACAUUAACAUAUUACUUCCUCCACAAUUUCCUCAGGAAAAACCAGUGAUCAGUGUUUAUCCACCAAUAAGACAUCACUUAAUGGAUAAACAAGGAGUGUAUGUUACUUCUCCAUUAGUAAGCAAUUUUACAAUGCAUUCAGAUCUUGGGAAAAUUAUUCAAAGUCUGUUGGAUGAGUUCUGGAAGAAUCCUCCAGUUUUAGCUCCUGCUUCGACAGCAUUUCCAUACCUGUACAGUAACCCAGGCGGGAUGCCUCCUUAUGCUUCUCAGGGCUUUCCAUUUCUUCCUCCAUAUCCUCCACAAGAAGCUAACAGGAAUAUCACUUCUUUGUCUGUUGCUGACACUGUUUCUUCUUCAACAACAAGUUAUACCACAGCCAAGCCUGCUGCUCCUUCAUUUGGUGUCCUUUCAAGUCUGCCAUUACCUGUUCCCACAACGGACACUUCAGCUCCGAUAAGCCAGAAUGGUUUUGGUUAUAAGAUGCCAGAUGUUCCUGAUACAUUUCCAGAACUCUCAGAAUUAAGUUUAUCACAACUUACAGAUAUGAAUGAACAAGAGGAAGUAUUACUAGAACAGUUCCUGACUUUGCCUCAAUUGAAACAAAUUAUUGCAGACAAGGAUGACUUAGUAAAAAGUAUCGAGGAAUUAGCAAGAAAAAAUCUCCUUUUGGAACCUAGCUUGGAAGCCAAAAGGCAGAUUGUUUUAGAUAAGUAUGAAUUACUUACACAAAUGAAAUCUACUUUUGAAAAGAAGAUGCAAAGGCAGCAUGAACUUAGUGAGAGCUGUAGUGCAAGUGCCCUGCAGGCAAGAUUGAAAGUAGCUGCACACGAAGCUGAAGAAGAAUCUGAUAAUAUCGCUGAAGAUUUCUUGGAGGGAAAAACGGAAAUAGACGAUUUUCUCAGUAGCUUCAUGGAAAAGAGAACAGUAUGUAAUACUCUUCCAUUGAGGAUGAGUGACAACAUAACAUCAAAUUACUUAACUACACCCAUGAGUAAAAAAACUUCAGCACAUUACUGAGCUGGGGAUUUGAGUGCUAUGAGAGGAAUCUGAAGAGCUUCUAUUGAGAAGGAUAGCAACACCCCAUUCUCACUAUCACUUAUCAAACUUGCUUGUUCUGAGUACACAAGCAGAUUUGCCACUGUAGAAGAGCCAAGGAAGAGAAACUUCAACAGGUGAUAGCAAUGCACAGCCAAUUUCAUGCUCCACUAUAGAUUUUCCCGAAAACAUGAACUGCCAAGAGAAAAAUGAGACAUAAAACUUAAGCACAUUGUUUUAUAUUUAUGAUUUGCAAAUUGGCAUUUCAUCAUGGGGGCUGAAUUCACAGAUAAUACUAUAUAGAUUGUAUACAGAACUGAGACUGAUUUUGUAUAGAUCAAAAUACUUGCUGUGAUCUUUGCUUUGAGAAAAUUUUCUGCACUAUUUGCACUAAAAAUGUUUAUUUAUUGUUGAUAAACUAUCAUAUAUUUAA